UUCUAAACUCAAAUCUGGAGCUACCUGGCUUUAGGAGAAGACUUGGAAGUGUAGAAAAGAUAGCAAGGACCCUAAGUAAGAGCCUUAAUCCCUGCUUAGUCAUUUUAAUUAGCUUAUAUUCCUAAAAGUCAAACCGUCGUAAUUAAGAUUUGACUUCGUCAUUAAUCUUAAUUGCUCCAGUCAAUUUUCAUUAUGAAAGUACCUAUGAGUUGGUAAUUAUGUGGGCAUUAAACCCUUAAAAGGGCACCAUCUGAUUCCCACUCUAACUAGGUCAAUUGUCGAGUCAAACUUAGUUACAAAAAAUCAACAAGAAGCUAUUUUGUAAACAUAAUUAUUAAUGUGUAAGCUAUGAAACCUGUUUUGACACUCAUAUAACUUGGUAAUUAAUAUAAGAACAUGUCUAAACAUGUUCAACUCGACAAUUUUCGGCUUAGACUCGGUUCGGAACCGAAAGUCGCGUAGUUUGACUUAUGCAUUGACUUUCAGUUCUGACCCGUUUGAGCAUGAAUUAGGAAUGCCUUAGAGCUUUAAUAGGACCAAGUUACCUAUAAGUAUAACCCUCUGUGAUUAUACAACUUGGUUCAUUGGUUAUCCAAUUCAUAUGCAUGAUUCCGUUAAAUGCUUAAAUGUUGACUAUUAUGCCCUUAUCACCUUAAAAUGUGAUUUUUGAAAAAGUGAAAGGGAUAGAAACCCUCACUACUAAUUUAUAAACUUGUCCCUAGAAUUUGACAUCAGUUUGAGGUCUAGAUUAAGAGUUAUGCUCAUUAGCGUAAUUAAGAAGCUUUUAAGUAAAUAAACCGCAUAAUUAGCAUAUAGCCUAUCUAAACCCAAAUUUUGAUACCAAACUUAUUGUUCACUGAUGUAAUAUAAUAUUUUGGGAUUUUUGAAGAUUUUUAUUUAUUUUUAGGCUGAGCAUAACUUAGGAUUCUAAGCUUGAUUCGGUAAUUGCCGGUUUUGCCCUUUUAGGCUAUAAAAUGAGUUUUACAAAUCCUUUUGACCCCAAACCUUUUUCUACUGAUCUAAUAUGAUAAAUAAAGUAUUUUGAGCCUUCAAGAAUAAUAAAAUUAUCAGCUUUCCUUUGAAAACCCGGAAAUGGCUCCAAAUCGCCUUUUUAAAUGUUUUUAACGCAUAGUAUGUAUUAAAACCAUUUUAUAAAUAUAAGCUUUGAUACCUACUGAUGUUUUAAGUAAAUUUUCAUACUUUAGCAGUAAGCAAAAGUCUUAAACUCAGAAUUCCAGUUUUGACCUUUUAAGCCUAUGUGAGAUUACCAAAAUGCCCUUAAGAUGCAUAGUUUGGUUAUAAGUGAUAAAUUUCACAUAUAAGUUAUACCCUACUGAUAUAACUUAGUAAAUUUAGUAUUUUUACUGAUUACAUCAGACCCAAAACUCAGAAACGUAUUUAAACCCUUUUAUAAACUUUUAAAUGACCAAAAUACCCUUACGAGGCAUAAUUUGAGUUUAAAAUCAUUUUGGGCAUAAUAGAAGACAUCCUACUGAUGUCACAACAUAUUUAAGGCAUAUUAACUUGUGGAACAUGUUCAUGACUCUUAUGGUUACCUGUUACGCAUGUUUCGCGUUCGGAUCGGUCUAUGUAACAAGUUUACAUAUAUUAGCCGAAACGGGUCAAACCAUAUCGUUUUUGUCUCAAAAUUCAGAAUGUGUUUAAGUUACCCAUAUUAAACAAGUAUACUAGCCUGUCGGGUCAAAACCACAUUCUAAGCCGGUCUUCGCUUUAUCAUGCGUUUGAACCGUGCCUUCCUUUGAAAACUAACCGGUCUAAAGCUUAGGCUAAAUUAAAGACCCGUUAGGAUUCUAAUAGGUUAUUAAAACCUUCGUUCCAGAUUAGGAGCCCAGUAAAAGCUACGUGCACUUGCUAUAUUUGAAUUAUACUUUGCUCAGGUAAAUACCCUUAACUUAAUUUCCCUAUACGGGCUGGGAUACGGUAUUAUAAAAGUACCGCUUGGUCGGGUGUAUGUAGUCAUUUAAAUCGGAUUGUGAUUAAUGCAUUUACAUGACCCGUUUGAUAUGUAUUAUUUGGUGUAUUGCCUUUGGGGGUUAAAUGACCAUGUCCCGGAUAUCCUUGGCAUCAUUCAUGAAAUGGCCACGACCUAAGCAUGGGGUGUAGGCGUACACCUGACAGCUGCCUUAUGUAAAAACUGGUAUCCCACUUAAAGGAAUCAACCUUGUGGGCAUUAUACCUGUGGCGUGUCAGUUAACUUAAGUCCGGCCCUACAAACCGGCCCUGAUGGACGGCAAAUAAGUAAAUCUGUAUACAAGAUUAUUUUUAAAUAAUUGUCCCAAGUUAUAAAAGAUAUUUUGCCGAAGUGCAUUCAAAUCAGUUUUCAAACUCUUUUCAAAAUGAGUCAGUUAAGUUGUAUUUACCAGUGUAAACUGACGUAUUUUCCAAAAAAGCUAAGUGCAGGUACUAAACGAAAUAGGCUGGCUACUCCAGGCGUCAUUACUCAAGUCUCGCAAGCUUUAGAUGCCAAAGUCUGUUGAACAAUUUUCCUUUUCAUUCGAUCCGCCUGUGGAUCGUUGAAAUAAAUCUAUCUCUUUGCUUCCGCUGUG
rnacentral:lncRNA from 1 species